AGCCCUUAUUUAGGAACUGCUGGCAGGCUGGCUGAGGAACCAAGGAAUCGUGGAGGGAAAGAGAGCCAACUUCUGCAGCUUCCCAAAGCUGUACGACCACGCGCAAGGGCAGAACACUAUUCAUAGGAUCCCACCUAAGUUUCUUGGGGGAAUAAAGGAAGCAGGACGGUUGGUGGUGAGGUGACGAAGGAACAGUUACCACGGAGAUUGGAAGAGGACAACAAUCUCUGGGGAUGCAGUUCCUCCCAGAUCAGUCUUACCAGGAUGUAGACACAUUCCAGGGGAAAUUUCGCAGCACUCU